rnacentral:rRNA from 1 species
GGGGAAUUUUGGACAAUGGGGGCAACCCUGAUCCAGCCAUGCCGCGUGAGUGAAGAAGGCCUUCGGGUUGUAAAGCUCUUUCGGCCGGGAAGAAAUCGCACAGGCUAAUACCCUGUGUGGAUGACGGUACCGGAAUAAGAAGCACCGGCUAACUACGUGCCAGCAGCCGCGGUAAUACGUAGGGUGCGAGCGUUAAUCGGAAUUACUGGGCGUAAAGCGUGCGCAGGCGGUUUGGUAAGACAGGCGUGAAAUCCCCGGGCUCAACCUGGGAACUGCGCUUGUGACUGCCUCACUAGAGUACGGCAGAGGGGGGUGGAAUUCCACGUGUAGCAGUGAAAUGCGUAGAGAUGUGGAGGAACACCGAUGGCGAAGGCAGCCCCCUGGGCCGAUACUGACGCUCAUGCACGAAAGCGUGGGUAGCAAAC